rnacentral:rRNA from 1 species
GAUCCUGGCUCAGGAUGAACGCUAGCUACAGGCUUAACACAUGCAAGUCGAGGGGCAUCAGUCUGGUUUGCUUGCAAACCAAAGCUGGCGACCGGCGCACGGGUGAGUAACACGUAUCCAACCUGCCUCAUACUCGGGGAUAGCCUUUCGAAAGAAAGAUUAAUAUCCGAUAGCAUAUAUUUCCAGCAGUUGGGUUUUAUAAUUAAAAGUAAAGUUCGGUAUGAGAGUGGGGAUGCGUUCCAUUUAG